rnacentral:rRNA from 1 species
GACGAACGCUGGCGGCGUGCCUAAUACAUGCAAGUCGAGCGGACAGAAGGGAGCUUGCUCCCGGAAGUUAGCGGCGGACGGGUGAGUAACACGUGGGCAACCUACCCUGUAGAUCGGGAUAACAUCGAGAAAUCGGUGCUAAUACCGGAUAAUCAUUUGAAGUGCAUGCUUCGAAUGUAAAAGAUGGCUCCGGCUAUCACUACGGGAUGGGCCCGCGGCGCAUUAGCUGGUUGGUAAGGUAAUGGCUUACCAAGGCAACGAUGCGUAGCCGGCCUGAGAGGGUGAUCGGCCACACUGGGACUGAGACACGGCCCAGACUCCUACGGGAGGCAGCAGUAGGGAAUCUUCCGCAAUGGACGAAAGUCUGACGGAGCAACGCCGCGUGAGUGAUGAAGGUUUUCGGAUCGUAAAGCUCUGUUGUAGGGAAGAACAAGUGCCGUUUGAAUAAGGCGGCACCUUGACGGUACCUAACCAGAAAGCCACGGCUAACUACGUGCCAGCCGCCGCAGUAACAC